CCCCUAGAUGUUCUGGGCCGCACGCGUGCUACACUGAACAGUUCAACAAGUCUUAACCUUGGCCGAUAGGUCUGGGUAAUCUUUGAACGCUGUUCGUGAUUGGGAUAGACCUUUGCAAUUAUGGGUCUUCAACGAGGAAUUCCUAGUAAACGCAAGUCAUCAGCUUGCAUUGAUUACGUCCCUGCCCUUUGUACACACCGCCCGUCGCACCUACCGAUUGAAUGGUCCGGUGAAAUCUCGGGACGGCGGCUUGGUCGCUUGCGUCCGACUGCUGAAACUUGAUUAAACCAUAUCAUUUAGAGGAAGGUGAAGUCGUANCA
rnacentral:rRNA from 1 species